AUUGAACGCUGGCGGCAUGCCUUACACAUGCAAGUCGAACGGCAGCACGGGAGCAAUCCUGGCGGCGAGUGGCGAACGGGUGAGUAAUGUAUCGGAACGUGCCCAGUCGUGGGGGAUAACGUAGCGAAAGCUACGCUAAUACCGCAUACGAUCUAUGGAUGAAAGCGGGGGAUCGCAAGACCUCGCGCGAUUGGAGCGGCCGAUAUCAGAUUAGGUAGUUGGUGGGGUAAAGGCUCACCAAGCCGACGAUCUGUAGCUGGUCUGAGAGGACGACCAGCCACACUGGGACUGAGACACGGCCCAGACUCCUACGGGAGGCAGCAGUGGGGAAUUUUGGACAAUGGGCGCAAGCCUGAUCCAGCAAUGCCGCGUGCAGGAUGAAGGCCUUCGGGUUGUAAACUGCUUUUGUACGGAACGAAACGGCGAGCUCUAAUACAGUUUGCUAAUGACGGUACCGUAAGAAUAAGCACCGGCUAACUACGUGCCAGCAGCCGCCGUAA
rnacentral:rRNA from 1 species